CCUACGGGUGGCAGCAGUAGGGAAUCUUCCACAAUGGGCGAAAGCCUGAUGCAGCAACGCCGCGUGGGUGAAGAAGGUCUUCGGAUCGUAAAACCCCGUUGUUCGAGAAGAAAGUGCGUGAGCGUAACUGUUCACGUUUCGACGGUAUCUAACCAGAAAGCCAAGGCUAACUACGUGCCACCAGCCGAGGUAAUACGUAGGUGGCAAGCGGUGUCCUGAUUUAUUUGGCGUGAAGGGAACGCAGGCGGUCUUUUAAGUCUGAUGGGAAAGCCUUCGGCUUAACCGGAGUAGUGCAGUUGAAACUGGGGGACUUGAGUGCGGGAGAGGAGAGUGGAA
rnacentral:rRNA from 1 species